UUGGAGGGCAAGUCUGGUGCCAGCAGCCGCGGUAAUUCCAGCUCCAAUAGCGUAUAUUAAAGUUGUUGCAGUUAAAAAGCUCGUAGUUGAAUUUCGAGACCGGUUUACUGGUCGUGCUUUUGUACGUACUGGUAUUAUUGGUUUCUCCUUUCUGACGAAUCAUAAUGCCAUUAAUUUGGUGUUUUGGGGAAUCAGGACUGUUACUUUGAAAAAAUUAGAGUGUUUAAAGCAGGCUCACGCUUGAAUACAUUAGCAUGGAAUAACGAAAUAGGACGUUUGAUUUUAUUUUGUUGGUUUCUAGGAUCGACGUAAUGAUUAAUAGGGAUAGUUGGGGGCAUUAGUAUUCAAUUGUCAGAGGUGAAAUUCUUGGAUUUAUUGAAGACUAACUACUGCGAAAGCAUUUGCCAAGGAUGUUUUCAUUAAUCAAGAACGAAAGUUAGGGGAUCGAAGACGAUCAGAUACCGUCGUAGUCUUAACCAUAAACUAUGCCGACCAGGGAUCGGAUGAUGUUAAUUUUUUAAUGACUCAUUCGGCGCCUUACGGGAAAC
rnacentral:rRNA from 1 species